AUGUAUGCUUAAUUUUGCAGCUAUUUAUAACAAUUAAAACUCUUUUAUUAUUUUCUGUGUCGUAUAAACCUCUUUUUAGAUGGUUUUUGGUAUUAUUUAUUUUAUUUUAAAGUCCUAUUAGGCAUAUAUUCAUUAGAGUUUUGUAUAAUAGGACUCAACGCCGUUGCGUAGGUAUACGGUAUACUAUGCGUACAACAAAAAAUCAUAAUAAAUCCAUA